rnacentral:rRNA from 1 species
AAAUUGAAGAGUUUGAUCAUGGCUCAGAUUGAACGCUGGCGGCAGGCCUAACACAUGCAAGUCGAACGGUAACAGGAAGCAGCUUGCUGCUUUGCUGACGAGUGGCGGACGGGUGAGUAAUGUCUGGGAAACUGCCCGAUGGAGGGGGAUAACUACUGGAAACGGUAGCUAAUACCGCAUAACGUCGCAAGACCAAAGAGGGGGACCUUAGGGCCUCUUGCCAUCGGAUGUGCCCAGAUGGGAUUAGCUAGUAGGUGGGGUAACGGCUCACCUAGGCGACGAUCCCUAGCUGGUCUGAGAGGAUGACCAGCCACACUGGAACUGAGACACGGUCCAGACUCCUACGGGAGGCAGCAGUGGGGAAUAUUGCACAAUGGGCGCAAGCCUGAUGCAGCCAUGCCGCGUGUAUGAAGAAGGCCUUCGGGUUGUAAAGUACUUUCAGCGGGGAGGAAGGGAGUAAAGUUAAUACCUUUGCUCAUUGACGUUACCCGCAGAAGAAGCACCGGCUAACUCCGUGCCAGCAGCCGCGGUAAUACGGAGGGUGCAAGCGUUAAUCGGAAUUACUGGGCGUAAAGCGCACGCAGGCGGUUUGUUAAGUCAGAUGUGAAAUCCCCGGGCUCAACCUGGGAACUGCAUCUGAUACUGGCAAGCUUGAGUCUCGUAGAGGGGGGUAGAAUUCCAGGUGUAGCGGUGAAAUGCGUAGAGAUCUGGAGGAAUACCGGUGGCGAAGGCGGCCCCCUGGACGAAGACUGACGCUCAGGUGCGAAAGCGUGGGGAGCAAACAGGAUUAGAUACCCUGGUAGUCCACGCCGUAAACGAUGUCGACUUGGAGGUUGUGCCCUUGAGGCGUGGCUUCCGGAGCUAACGCGUUAAGUCGACCGCCUGGGGAGUACGGCCGCAAGGUUAAAACUCAAAUGAAUUGACGGGGGCCCGCACAAGCGGUGGAGCAUGUGGUUUAAUUCGAUGCAACGCGAAGAACCUUACCUGGUCUUGACAUCCACGGAAGUUUUCAGAGAUGAGAAUGUGCCUUCGGGAACCGUGAGACAGGUGCUGCAUGGCUGUCGUCAGCUCGUGUUGUGAAAUGUUGGGUUAAGUCCCGCAACGAGCGCAACCCUUAUCCUUUGUUGCCAGCGGUCCGGCCGGGAACUCAAAGGAGACUGCCAGUGAUAAACUGGAGGAAGGUGGGGAUGACGUCAAGUCAUCAUGGCCCUUACGACCAGGGCUACACACGUGCUACAAUGGCGCAUACAAAGAGAAGCGACCUCGCGAGAGCAAGCGGACCUCAUAAAGUGCGUCGUAGUCCGGAUUGGAGUCUGCAACUCGACUCCAUGAAGUCGGAAUCGCUAGUAAUCGUGGAUCAGAAUGCCACGGUGAAUACGUUCCUGGGCCUUGUACACACCGCCCGUCACACCAUGGGAGUGGGUUGCAAAAGAAGUAGGUAGCUUAACCUUCGGGAGGGCGCUUACCACUUUGUGAUUCAUGACUGGGGUGAAGUCGUAACAAGGUAACCGUAGGGGAACCUGCGGUUGGAUCACCUCCUUA